rnacentral:rRNA from 1 species
UAAAAGUUAGGUUAGCACCUAUAAUACGGACAAUAUGGAGAUAAGAAAAAAGAUAAUCGGAAACAAACCGUUCGACGACAUUCAAAAGCUACUUUAGAAAUCAUGAGACAUACGGUUUAACUUACUACACAAGUAAGGUUUUUUUAAAUUUUUACCCAUUUUCGGCUCUUCAAAAUAUAAAAAUAUAAUACUUGGAAGCUAAGAUUUUAAAUUUAAGAAGAUGUAACUUACCCAUCGAUGUCGUUAUUUAAACCUAGUCGGAAAGAUGAGGGGACGUGGAUCCAACUCGUCCAUGGAUUUCCAUGGAUGUGUUAUGGAUUGGUGGAUUGGGAUAAAAACGAUAACUAUUCUCACGAAUAAUAUUUUCUUAAGAACGUUAAAAAAAGUUCUUAAGAAAAAACGUAAAAAUCCAUAUUUUUUUUUGGUAGGAUCACCUAGGCACACCAUUCCUUUUUGACCAUUAGAUAAGGAAUUUUUUUUAGAACCUCUAAUACAUUACGAAUGAGAGUUUGAAAAACAAAUAUGUCAUCACUAUAAGAAACAAAGUGAGAAAUAGAAACCUAAGAAUAGAUUACUGGGUCCUGCCUUAGGACCUGCGCUCCUCAUUUUUAAGUCAAAAAAAAAGAAUAACCUAAACAAAGCAUGUAAAUAGAUACUCUUUUAGGCCCCCAGUCUUAAGAAAGGUUAAGCUUUCAGGGUUUACUAGGUUCCCUCGCCUUUCUCUCCCUAAGCUUGGGAGCCAUGUUUUUUUAACAUGUUGCUUAAUCGUUAGGCGGCGAAAUCAGGUGAGUCGGUAGAGAGGUGCAAGGUUUCGCUUUCCAAAGGCACUAUACUAUAUCCGUUCUUUAUUCUUUAUUGCCAACGUUUUUUGGGGGAAAAAAAGAAAGUUUUCAGAUAUUUUUAAUAUAACGGUUAAGGUAAAAUUAAUAUAAGAAAAAAGAAUUACAAUUAUUUUUUUCUUCUUUUAAGAACAAAAAAGAAAGAUUUUUAGCUAUAACCGGCUCUCUGUUAGUUUAUCUAAAAGAGAAAUCGCCCGUAAAGGUAUAUCCUGAACAAUAUUAAUAUUAUUUUGUUCGUCCAAUAUAUUUUUUUUUGCGAAAAAAACAGCUAAUAAAUAGUUCUUUCGUUUUUCCCAAGAAUAGUUUAGGUGGUAUUUUAACCUUUCUUCGUAUUUCAUUCAUCUGGACUGAGGAAAUUACUACGGAGAUAGGCGAUAAGACUAUAUAUUUAAGCUACAUCUACUUUAACAUAUUCGCUUAAAAAAAAUAAAGGAAUCUGAAUCUGGCGCGUUCUGUUCUUAAAAAGCGAUAAAUGCUAAAGUAUAAGAACAAUGAUCUACAAGAUAUCCUUAUUCUUCUUUAGCGUUGAGGAAACGCGAUGUGUAUUUUAACCUAAAGCUUCCAGGAAAAAAAAAAGUCUUAGGAGAUAAAAUCAAGAAGGUGGGUACGUUAUCUCUCCCUUACCCUUUUCUUCCCAAUGAAAAUAAAAGUAGAAAGGGAAUUUUCUAUCUGAAACUUUAUCCUCAGAAACUUUGAAGAACAUAAAAAACACUCAACACAUAGGUGAGGUUAUUAUGAUAACAGUUCAUAGAAAUCCCUACUUCUAGAGCCGUUCUAUACUUCAAGAACUUCUUACUUUUUUUUGGCUAGAUGAAGAAAAACCAUAAAAUCUGAUUUAAGAAAACAAGGAGCUACGAGUUAGUUUGGGAGAAAAAAAUUCUACCUUAGAAGGAGACCCGAGAGCAUAAGCAGGAGACUUAGAAGAAGACUCAGAAGGAGAUUUCAUGGUAUAAAAAGGAGACGCGAAAGGGGCCCCGACGGUAUAAGCAGAAGACUCAGAAGGAGAUCUCAAGGUAUAAGCAGGAGAACCCAGGAUAUAAACGAGAGACCCGAGGGUAUAAGGAGAAGACUCAGAAAGAGAUUUCAGGAUAUAAGCAAGAGACCCAAGGGUAUAAGCAAAAGACCCGAGGGUAUAAGCAGAAGAUCCCAAAGUAUAAGCAUAAGCAGAAGAUCCUAAGGUAUAAAUCUAAGAAGAUCCCAAAGUAUAAGUAUAAGCAGGAGAGCCCAGGACAUAAGCAGAAGAUCCCAGAGUAUAAGGAGAAGACUCAGAAGGCGAGCUCAGGAUAUAAGAAGAAGAUCCCAGGAUAUAGAUUUAAAUUGUUAAGGACUUGGGAAAAAUAGAAAAGACAUAGCCCCUAGCAGUUUUAUUCGUUUUUAUCAUAAAGAUGCAUUUUGUGGGUAUUCCCCCUAAAGUUAGCUUUAGGGUUUUGUCCUAUAAUCAAGAAAGAGAACAAGAACUACUAUAACAUUACCUUACUGCUUGGAUAAAGAAGCGAAAAGGCGGUUGUUUAGACUUAAUAGAACUUUUUAUCUUCCUAUCUAUUUUAAGGUUACCGGUAACCUGUACUAAGCUAGGCUGCAACUUAUUAGUUCUUAAAGGGAUAGAAAAAAUGGUAUUCAUAAGUAAACUAGAACUAGGAACACCUCACUUUUUCUGCGAUAUGACCUAGACGUGUAUGAAUGACUGUUAUAGGUAUUUACCGAACAAAAACCAUUAGCCGCUUCUAAUGGUAUAACUAUAAGCCCGCGUACCAUUUGUAGUCAUGAGGUCACGUAAAGCGGCAGACUAAGUCUUAUUUAUACGAAAACAUGGGAAAGAAAUUUUACAUUUCACCUGCAAGGCC